rnacentral:tRNA from 1 species
AAGACUAUAGUCAAUAUUUAAUGACGUAUGAGUUGCAUUCAUAAAGAGUUCUUUGAACUAGUUUUA